CACCUGCUUAGGCUGGCCGCCCCCAGGCUGGCUGGGCGAGUAUCUCUUCAAAGGCUCACCUUCAAGCCCCACUAGGAGU
rnacentral:pre_miRNA from 1 species